rnacentral:tRNA from 1 species
UAGCUCAGUUGGUUAGAGCAGCGGACUCAUAAUCCGUUGGUCGACAGUUCAAGUCUGUCUGGGCCCACCA